rnacentral:rRNA from 1 species
CCUACGGGGUGGCAGCAGUGGGGAAUAUUGGACAAUGGGCGAAAGCCUGAUCCAGCCAUGCCGCGUGUGUGAAGAAGGCCUUCGGGUUGUAAAGCACUUUCAGUGGGGAAGAAAGCCUUGGGGCUAAUACCCUCGAGGAAGGACAUCACCCACAGAAGAAGCACCGGCUAACUCCGUGCCAGCAGCCGCGGUAAUACGGAGGGUGCGAGCGUUAAUCGGAAUUACUGGGCGUAAAGCGCGCGUAGGCGGUCUGAUAAGCCGGUUGUGAAAGCCCCGGGCUCAACCUGGGAACGGCAUCCGGAACUGUCAGGCUAGAGUGCAGGAGAGGAAGGUAGAAUUCCCGGUGUAGCGGUGAAAUGCGUAGAGAUCGGGAGGAAUACCAGUGGCGAAGGCGGCCUUCUGGACUGACACUGACGCUGAGGUGCGAAAGCGUGGGUAGCAAACAGGAUUAGAUACCCUAGUAGUC